UUCGAAGGUUGGGGUUUUGAUCGUUUGGGUUUGAAGCCUUUAUAGUGAUCACUCUUCUCGAAGGUUGUUGCCUCCUUAUUCUUGGAACCAAAGCUUCUCUCCGGUGCUUCGAGCUCUCCUUGUAAUUUUCUUCAAGAUCCAGUUCUUUGAUCACAGGUUCCAGUGUUUGAGUGAUGAGUGGAUGGUUUUAAGUUUGAGGCUGAUAUCAUGCAAAGGGGAAAGUGUGUGAGGCUGUUGCUAGUGUUGGAGGACAAGAGAUUUGAAGGAUUCGUGGCGAGACCACAUACGUUGGUAUCACCAUAGUCUGUAGCCGUCAUAGGACUGGUUGUUCCAA